rnacentral:rRNA from 1 species
UAGGGAAUCUUCGGCAAUGGGGGCAACCCUGACCGAGCAACGCCGCGUGAGUGAAGAAGGUUUUCGGAUCGUAAAGCUCUGUUGUAAGAGAAGAACGUGUGUGAGAGUGGAAAGUUCACACAGUGACGGUAACUUAGCAGAAAGGGACGGCUAACUACGUGCCAGCAGCCGCGGUAAUACGUAGGUCCCGAGCGUUGUCCGGAUUUAUUGGGCGUAAAGCGAGCGCAGGCGGUUUAAUAAGUCUGAAGUUAAAGGCAGUGGCUUAACCAUUGUUCGCUUUGGAAACUGGUAAACUUGAGUGCAGAAGGGGAGAGUGGAAUUCCAUGUGUAGCGGUGAAAUGCGUAGAUAUAUGGAGGAACACCGGUGGCGAAAGCGGCUUUCUGGGCUGUAACUGACGCUGAGGCUCGAAAGCGUGGGGAGCAAACAGG